rnacentral:rRNA from 1 species
CUAGCUUUUUCUUUAGUAAUAUCUAAAGAUUAGGAGGGUACAGCUCAGCCUUAUAUUUUUAUACAAGGUCUAAUAGCUAGGCCUUAGGCAGCCCUAAAGGGGGUGGCACAAAAUCGGAGGCCCCGACUGUUUACUUAAAACACAGCUUUCUGCGACGAAUAAUAUCUUUGUAUAGAAAGUGAAUUUUGCCCGAUGCCAUUAAUAUAAAGUCGAUAAGCGCUUAGCGUAAUUAUUGGCUGAAGUUCUGGUCAAUGGCGGUCUUAUCUAUGAGGAUCCUAAGGUAGCAAAAUUAAUUGUCCAUUAAAUGUGGUCCUG